rnacentral:rRNA from 1 species
AAAUGAAUAGACGGGGGCCCGCACAAGCGGUGGAGCAUGUGGUUUAAUUCGAAGCAACGCGAAGAACCUUACCAAGGCUUGACAUCCCUUUGAAUACAUUAGAGAUAGUGUAGCUUUUCGGAGCGAAGGUGACAGGUGGUGCAUGGUUGUCGUCAGCUCGUGUCGUGAGAUGUUGGGUUAAGUCCCGCAACGAGCGCAACCCUUACCUUUAGUAGCCAGCAUUAGGGUGGGCACACUAGAGGGACUGCCGUGGAUAACACGGAGGAAGGUGGGGAUGACGUCAAAUCAUCAUGCCCCUUAUGUCUUGGGCAACACACGUGCUACAAUGGAUGUUACAAAGUGAAGCGAAGUCGUGAGGCGGAGCAAAGCACAAAAAGGCAUCCUCAGUUCGGAUUGUAGUCUGCAACCCGACUACAUGAAGCUGGAAUCGCUAGUAAUCGCGGAUCAGCAUGUCGCGGUGAAUACGUUCCCGGGCCUUGUACACACCGCCCGU